rnacentral:rRNA from 1 species
AUUGAACGCUGGCGGCAUGCCUUACACAUGCAAGUCGAACGGCAGCACGGGUGCUUGCACCUGGUGGCGAGUGGCGAACGGGUGAGUAUUACAUCGGAACAUGUCCUGUAGUGGGGGAUAGCCCGGCGAAAGCCGGAUUAAUACCGCAUACGAUCUACGGAUGAAAGCGGGGGACCUUCGGGCCUCGCGCUAUAGGGUUGGCCGAUGGCUGAUUAGCUAGUUGGUGGGGUAAAGGCCUACCAAGGCGACGAUCAGCAGCUGGUCUGAGAGGACGACCAGCCACACUGGGACUGAGACACGGCCCAGACUCCUACGGGAGGCAGCAGUGGGGAAUUUUGGACAAUGGGCGAAAGCCUGAUCCAGCAAUGCCGCGUGCGUGAAGAAGGCCUUCGGGUUGUAAAGCACUUUUGUCCGGAAAGAAAUCCUUGGCCCUAAUACGGUCGGGGGAUGACGGUACCGGAAGAAUAAGCACCGGCUAACUACGUG